AACGGAGGGAGUAAAAAGGAGGGUAUUUAAGAGUAGUGGGUGUCAUACCAUGGAGGAUAGCUCGACUCUUCUUCCCUCUAUACUCAGGGUAUCAAGAUUUGUGUUGGUGUUUUCCCAAUGUAUCUCUUUCCUAUUGUUCUUAAGUGCUCCUUCCUCUUCCUUUCAGCU
rnacentral:pre_miRNA from 1 species